rnacentral:tRNA from 1 species
GCCUGGGUGGCUCUGUGGGUUAAGUGUCUGACUUUGGCUCAGGUCAUGAUCUCAGGGUCCAUGGGUUUGAGUCCCUUGUCAGGCU